rfam:Brassica oleracea var. oleracea cultivar TO1000 chromosome C4, whole genome shotgun sequence
GGAAUAUGAAAAUCCGUCUCUUAACUUUUAACUAAAAAAGUUAAGAACCGGUUCUUAAAACUCUUAUUUAAGAACCGGUUCUUAAAGAACCGGUUCUUAACUUUUUUUUAGUUAAAAGUUAAGAGACGGGUUCUUAUAUUCC